CAGAUGAGCUGACAGAUGUGAUACUAAUACAGCUGUUGUUCACAGCAGGGUAUUUUUGUUAGUCAGGGGGCAUGCCUUAUACAGCUGCACCCCAAUAACGAUGAACUGCAAUCUGGUGUGUGUAAGUUCUGGCCCCUGCUACCUGAAAUAAAUGAUGUGGUGGAUUUACUCUGGGAGGGUGUUUGAGAAUCGUCUUGACUCCAGAGGCCUGUAGAUGGCAAUCUUGCGCUGCAUUGGAGAAACAAUCCCCAACAUCCUCCACAGCUCCUGGAAAGAGAAAGCUUUGUUAGACACCAGAUGAGGCUGACCAGAGAGUGUCAUACAACAGCACGGGAAACAAGUUGGAGUUGGAGCUUCUGCUGGGAAGGCCACCUGACCUGGAGCUGGGACUUCCUCGCACCUAUCAGAAGUCCCAACGAUCAAAACACUGACCAGACCAGUUUAGAGAGAUAACUGGAAGCUUGGUGUUUGGAGAGAGAAAAUAGCUGAAGAUGAAGCACUGUGGGCAGUUCUAAUUACAGACAAAGCAAGAAAGGCUGUCUACUUCCAGCCCCCUAUGAUUCUAAAGAGCUCUGUUAAAUAACGGACUGCACCGUCUCCAUCAAAGAUCCAUGAAGGUGAAUGCUUCACUGCCAGAAAUACUUAUUUAUAUAUGUGUAUUCUGAACCAUAAAGAGAACCAGGGCUUAUUACAGUCUUUGCUUUAAUUUUUGAACAGCUAGGUGGUGCUGCUCGAAUAUUUAGUAUGUAUUUACUGUUUAAUUUUAGUAUCAUAAUGUUAAGUCAAAGAUCAAGACUCAGAUGUAUGAGAUACAGAGAAAAUGCAAAUUUGCUGCAUGUCCCAAAUGGAUUACAAUGGAAGUAAAAGGGUACACGUUCUCUGCACUUCACCUACUUCUUCAUUCUGUUGAGCCUGAUAAAGCCACAGCUGUAUUGUUUCCAAUAUUCAAAUGAACUAAUUAAAAAUUAGUAGCUUUUUUUUGUGUGUGUGUAAUACUCUCUGAUGUAGUCACACGUGUGAAAGUGAUGAUGAUGGAGAGAGAUCGAGAGGUGUCAGUGAGCUGGGCCAGAAUAGGAGGCAAUGAGCAGACAAAGCUGCUGAGCUGUUCUUUGAAUGGUCACAGCAAAAGGGGGUUAUAAAUAGGAUGCAAUAGGUAAUGUAAGACAGUGAAAUAGCUGGGGGGGGCACAAUGGGAGCAAGGUUUGGAGAAAUAUCUCUAUUGAGCAAUGUAAGAAAUGGGUUCAUGUGUUGAUAUUAAGGCCAGUUGGAAAUUGCUUUUUUUUUCUUUUUUUUUUUUUGAGAAAUAGAUGAAAAAUAACAAGAACAAAUGUGAAUUGGGAAUGCCUGUGUAACUGAAGUCAGGUAGCUUGUGUUAAAGAAGAACUGCUACUGAAUGACUGCCAUGCAGCUGGAGCUGUAAACUAGGAAAAUGAGAAGUAGCAAGAACAUGCAUAAGCAACUCAGAUGCAGCAAAGCUUGGACCACGUCAGAAAGUUUAAUGCAAGAUUGGGACAGUUUUCAGUUGUUCUAAAUCACAAAAUUAAAUAAGUGGUUAUGUUGAUGGAAUAGCAAAUGAUUAUAUCAGUACACUGUUUAAACAAGGGUACUCCAACUUCCUGAAAUUAGUAAUGACUUCGUUUGUUCAGAAAAUCUUAAAGCAUAAAGGGAAAAGGUAGCAGAAUUCAAGUGAAGGUGUCCUAGCUCUUGGUGAGGCUCUGUUAAUAGCAGGUACAGCAGCUAGGGAGCUGCCUUGUGAAAUAGGAAAAUGAUCUUUCAGGCUGCACUAUAGAAAGUCAGGGCUAAAACACGUUCAAGGAACCUGCAAUUUUCUGUUCAUGUGUAAAAGUUUGCUUUCAUAUGCACUUCUCUUAUACAUUCUCUUUUAAAGCCAUGCCUCAGCCUUCUUAAUCUUUAGUAGUUCUCCUCCAAUGGCAGAUGAGUGAUGAAUGCAAAAAUAUACUGUUAUUACUAUUGGAAUCCCAUUGAGAAUAUCCGAUAAUGAAUUCUUCCUUUUUAAGAGGCAGAGAACAUGUGAAAAUGGCACCAUUUUAGUACUUCACUUUCAAUAUAGCUUUUCUGUCUACAGGGGAUGCCAUUUAUGUUUGUAACAUUUCUUCUUACUGCUUAGCUGUAAAAAUGCUACAUAAGACUAAUACAAUUAUAUGCUGUAGCAUGAUUUAAACUGCUGUGAUUUAUGGAAGACAUUAC